rnacentral:rRNA from 1 species
AUUGAACGCUGGCGGCAGGCCUAACACAUGCAAGUCGAACGAGUGGCGGACGGGUGAGUAAUGUCUGGGAAACUGCCUGAUGGAGGGGGAUAACUACUGGAAACGGUAGCUAAUACCGCAUACCAUCGGAUGUGCCCAGAUGGGAUUAGCUAGUAGGUGGGGUAACGGCGCACCUAGGCGACGAUCCCUAGCUGGGCUGAGAGGAUGACCAGCGACACGGGAACUGCGACGCGGUCCAGACUCCUCCGGGAGGCAGCAGUGGGGAAUAUUGCACAAUGGGCGCAAGCCGGAUGCAGCCAUGCCGCGUGUAUGAAGAAGGCCUUCGGGGUGUAAAGUACUUUCAGCGAGGAGGCGUUACUCGCAGAAGAAGCACCGGCUAACUCCGUGCCAGCAGCCGCGGUAAUUC